UACGAAGGGGGCUAGCGUUGCUCGGAAUCACUGGGCGUAAAGCGCACGUAGGCGGCUUUCUAAGUCAGGGGUGAAAGCCUGGAGCUCAACUCCAGAACUGCCUUUGAGACUGCAUCGCUUGAAUCCAGGAGAGGUGAGUGGAAUUCCGAGUGUAGAGGUGAAAUUCGUAGAUAUUCGGAAGAACACCAGUGGCGAAGGCGGCUCACUGGACUGGUAUUGACGCUGAGGUGCGAAAGCGUGGGGAGCAAACAGG
rnacentral:rRNA from 1 species